UGGUGUGGACCGCUUGAGAGGCUCCAUUCAAAGGCGAAGGGUCGGCAAGGGUGAGGGUUCCUCUGACUGUCCCGGCGGUCUGCGCCCUGGAGCGUGCCUGGGGGAGCCUUGGGGACAGAGCACCACCCCUCCUCUCCAGCUGCCAGGGGAAGAGCCAUCUUGGGCUCCCUCACGCUAUGGCCUUCCCACAGACAGGAUGGACAGCCAGGAAACACUUGGGAGGAGAGCUAGACACCGCCCCACACCAACCAGUGAGUAGAUGAACUGCCUCCGUGGCCUCCCGGUGCCCCAGACCGUCAGGGCGGAGC